rfam:Pygoscelis adeliae contig60508, whole genome shotgun sequence.
GCCCAGCUAGCUCAGUCGGUAAAGCAUGGGACUCAAUCCCAGGGUCAUGGGUUCACCCCACAUUGGGCG